rnacentral:rRNA from 1 species
CGAGGAUUCCCCUAGUAACGGCGAGUGAACGGGGAAAAGCCCAGCGCUGAAUCCAUCGGCCACUGGUCGCUUGGAGCUGUAGCGUAUAGGUGCGGCUGUCUGGCCGUUCCGCUUACCCAAAGUCCCCUUGAGCGGGGCCAUUGUCCAUAGAAGGUGCUAGACCUGUACGGGUGGCGGGACAGCCGGUUGGCUGCUCCUUGGAGUCGGGUUGCCUGGGAUCGCAGCCCAAAGUUGGUGGUAGACCUCAUCUAAGGCUAAAUAUGGCCACGAAACCGAUAGCAAACAAGUACCGUGAGGGAAAGUUGCAAAGAACUUUGAAGAGAGAGUUCAAGAGGGCGUGAAACCGCUGAGAUUGAAACGGAUAGAGUUGACGAAACUCGGCUGCAUUCAUUCGGUCGGCUUAGCGGCCCUGCGGCACUCGCUUCCUCGAUGAGGCGGUGCCGUGGGUAGCUGUUGGGUGCUUGACCGGUGUACUUGCGGCCGGUAUGCGCUGAGGGCCUUGCGGUCGCGUGUUGACAAGUGUGUAGUGGACCACUCCUUCCGGGCGUGGAACCCUCCUCGCUUUGAGGCAUGUCGGCCGUGAGGUUUUGAACGUAAUCGUGUCUCCGCUAUGGUGCACCGGCCUUGCUGAGCUUCUGUGGCUUCGGGACGUCGCAUGCGACGCCUUGUUGUCGGCAGUUGCGUGGCGGGGUUCGGGUGCGUCGAGGCGCGCAUCUCGGUGUGAACGUUGACCACCUAUCCGA